AGUUGCUGCCUUGGCCAGAGUCCGGAGCAGCCGCCGCCCGACCGCGCCGAGCUCAGUUCGCUGUCCGCGCCGGCUCCCACCCCGGCCCGACCCCGACCCGACCCGGCCAGGCCCAUACUCAGCCACGAUGGAGGUGAUGAACCUGAUGGAGCAGCCUAUCAAGGUGACUGAGUGGCAGCAGACAUACACCUACGACUCCGGUAUCCACUCGGGCGCCAACACCUGCGUGCCCUCCGUCAGCAGCAAGGGCAUCAUGGAGGAGGAUGAGGCCUGUGGCCGCCAAUACACGCUCAAGAAAACCACCACCUACACCCAGGGGGUGCCCCCCAGCCAAGGUCAGGACCCCUGGGGACUAUUGCAUGGGGCAGAAAACCUGCCUGGGUCCUGGAGAGAGGUCAGAGUGAAAGGAGGCAGAUUGUAGGGGGUCUCUGGUCUGAAAGAGGAGGCACAGCUCAUGCUAACUAGGGGCCCACCCAGUCUGAAGGAGGAGGUGCAGCUACUUCAGGGUGCUGCAUCUGGGAGGGUCACAGAAUCCUCUUCUGUGAACCAUCAGUAGGGAGGGAAG
rnacentral:sRNA from 1 species